AGAGUUUGAUCAUGGCUCAGAUUGAACGCUGGCGGCAGGCUUAACACAUGCAAGUCGAACGGUAACAGGAGAAAGCUUGCUUUCUUGCUGACGAGUGGCGGACGGGUGAGUAAUGCUUGGGAAUCUGGCUUAUGGAGGGGGAUAACUACGGGAAACUGUAGCUAAUACCGCGUAAUAUCUUCGGAUUAAAGGGUGGGACUUUCGGGCCACCUGCCAUAAGAUGAGCCCAAGUGGGAUUAGGUAGUUGGUGGGGUAAAGGCCUACCAAGCCGACGAUCUCUAGCUGGUCUGAGAGGAUGACCAGCCACACUGGAACUGAGACACGGUCCAGACUCCUACGGGAGGCAGCAGUGGGGAAUAUUGCACAAUGGGGGGAACCCUGAUGCAGCCAUGCCGCGUGAAUGAAGAAGGCCUUCGGGUUGUAAAGUUCUUUCGGUGAUGAGGAAGGUGUUUGUUUUAAUAGAACAAGCAAUUGACGUUAGUCACAGAAGAAGCACCGGCUAACUCCGUGCCAGCAGCCGCGGUAAUACGGAGGGUGCGAGCGUUAAUCGGAAUGACUGGGCGUAAAGGGCACGCAGGCGGUGACUUAAGUGGGAUGUGAAAGCCCCGAGCUUAACUUGGGAAUUGCAUUUCAUACUGGGUCGCUAGAGUAUUUUAGGGAGGGGUAGAAUUCCACGUGUAGCGGUGAAAUGCGUAGAGAUGUGGAGGAAUACCGAAGGCGAAGGCAGCCCCUUGGGAAUAUACUGACGCUCAUGUGCGAAAGCGUGGGGAGCAAACAGGAUUAGAUACCCUGGUAGUCCACGCUGUAAACGCUGUCGAUUUGGGGAUUGGGCUUAGAGCUUGGUGCCCGUAGCU
rnacentral:rRNA from 1 species